AGUGAACGCUGGCGGUAGGCCUAACACAUGCAAGUCGAACGGCAGCACAGUAAGAGCUUGCUCUUACGGGUGGCGAGUGGCGGACGGGUGAGGAAUACAUCGGAAUCUACUUUUUCGUGGGGGAUAACGUAGGGAAACUUACGCUAAUACCGCAUACGACCUACGGGUGAAAUCAGGGGAUCUUCGGACCUUGCGCGAUUGUAUGAGCCGAUGUCGGAUUAGCUAGUUGGCGGGGUAAAGGCCCACCAAGGCGACGAUCCGUAGCUGGUCUGAGAGGAUGAUCAGCCACACUGGAACUGAGACACGGUCCAGACUCCUACGGGAGGCAGCAGUGGGGAAUAUUGGACAAUGGGCGCAAGCCUGAUCCAGCCAUACCGCGUGGGUGAAGAAGGCCUUCGGGUUGUAAAGCCCUUUUGUUGGGAAAGAAAAGCAGCAGGUUAAUACCCCGCUGUUCUGACGGUACCCAAAGAAUAAGCACCGGCUAACUUCGUG
rnacentral:rRNA from 1 species